UGCAGUGCGACGCCGGCUACGCUCGUCCCGAUAGAAAACUGUCGGAGGGGCCGCUCCUUGUGUUUCCUUCCUCCAUGGUCAAGACCACUGACGAGAAAUUUCGACCGUGUUUCGUGACCGUGUUUCGAAAAGAUGUCUCGUGUCUCGAAAAGAUGUGUAGGACGCUCACGAGGACCAUUCAUUCUACACAGAGCUCGUGGAACAAAGCGGCUGUCAGGGCAGGUCUUCGUAGCCACAUCGCCCGUGCAGACGCACUGUAAGGCCUUCUGGAAUGCUCUCGCCGCUGGCUGACGUCUAGUCGACUUUUCCGUCACGCUCAGGAUGCAACGACGUUCACAUUCCUCCGCCUGCCGUGCACCCUCCCGCGGAAGCCGCCCGAAUCCCUCCGGACAUCUAGACCGGGCUCAGGUGCAGGGCCCACAGUACCACUCCGUCGCCACCCGGACGCUCGUCCACAACCCGUGUCCUGUGCAUCCCGCUCCCGCUGGUACCA